UCUCACCUGUGGGGUCUUAGCCAAAUGACUGCCAGGCUCCAGAACGAGGACAAGAAGUGGUUCCCAGAACGAUGAGAAUGACAGAGCAGCUCCAUUACAGAGAGAGAAGGAGGCCAUUCACACCAAGCUCUACAGUCUACUUCUUGGCUCACCUGAGGAGCUUUCAAACCAGCAGUUCUGGAAGCUGGCCCCAAAUCGUCUGAAUGGAAAGAGGUGCAGGCAGGAUCCCCCAGGUGAUUCACUGAGCGGCCAGGCUUGGCUCUGAAGAACCAGCAUGGAGUGCUGCCCAGGGGCCGGGUAGGAAUAAAGACGGAGAGAUGUCUACGUGUCCGACCUUUUGGGAGUUGGGUUUUGUAGGGUGCGGAGUGACUGAAGGCGGAGGAAGUCGAGGUUGUGUUCUCCUGAGAACUGUCUGCACGUCUCUCUGAACCCCUCACGACUGGACACUAAGGAG